GAUGAACGCUGGCGGCGUGCUUAACACAUGCAAGUCGAACGAAGCACCCCUCCCGAAGAAAGGAGCAGCUUGCUGCGAAUGGAUUCAUUUGGGGUGACUGAGUGGCGGACGGGUGAGUAACGCGUGGGCAACCUGCCCCAUAGAGGGGGACAACAGCCGGAAACGGCUGCUAAUACCGCAUAGUAAGCAGAUACUGCAUGGUAACUGCUUGAAAGAUUUAUCGCUAUGGGAUGGGCCCGCGUCUGAUUAGCUAGUUGGCAGGGUAACGGCCUACCAAGGCAGCGAUCAGUAGCCGGCUUGAGAGAGUGGACGGCCACAUUGGGACUGAGACACGGCCCAGACUCCUACGGGAGGCAGCAGUGGGGAAUAUUGCACAAUGGGGGGAACCCUGAUGCAGCGACGCCGCGUGAGUGAAGAAGUAUUUCGGUAUGUAAAGCUCUAUCAGCAGGGAAGAUAAUGACGGUACCUGACUAAGAAGCCCCGGCUAACUACGUGCCAGCAGCCGCAGUAAAAC
rnacentral:rRNA from 1 species